rnacentral:misc_RNA from 1 species
GAAAUGCGAUAAGUAAUGUGAAUUGCAGAAUUCAGUGAAUCAUCGAAUCUUUGAACGCACCUUGCGCUCCUUGGUAUUCCGAGGAGCAUGCCUGUUUGAGUGUCAUGGAAUUCUCAACUCUAUUUGCUUUUGUGAAUAGAGCUUGGAUUUGGAGGUUUAUUGCUGGUACUUGUGAUCGGCUCCUCUUGAAUGCAUUAGCUCGAACCUUUGCGGAUCAGCUAUCGGUGUGAUAAUUGUCUACGCCGUUGCAGUGAAGCAUAUCAAUGGGCUCGGCUUCCAAUCAUCCUUUACUGGACAUUGACUUUGACCUUUGACCUCAAAUCAGGUAGGAUUACCCGCUGAACUUAAGC